AGUGAACGCUGGCGGUAGGCCUAACACAUGCAAGUCGAACGGCAGCACAGUAAGAGCUUGCUCUUACGGGUGGCGAGUGGCGGACGGGUGAGGAAUACAUCGGAAUCUACUUUUUCGUGGGGGAUAACGUAGGGAAACUUACGCUAAUACCGCAUACGACCUACGGGUGAAAGCAGGGGAUCUUCCGACCUUGCGCGAUUGAAUGAGCCGAUGUCGGAUUAGCUAGUUGGCGGGGUAAAGGCCCACCAAGGCGACGAUCCGUAGCUGGUCUGAGAGGAUGAUCAGCCACACUGGAACUGAGACACGGUCCAGACUCCUACGGGAGGCAGCAGUGGGGAAUAUUGGACAAUGGGCGCAAGCCUGAUCCAGCCAUACCGCGUAGGUGAAGAAGGCCUUCGGGUUGUAAAGCCCUUUUGUUGGGAAAGAAAAGCAGCAGGUUAAUACCCCGCUGUUCUGACGGUACCCAAAGAAUAAGCACCGGCUAACUUCGUG
rnacentral:rRNA from 1 species